rnacentral:rRNA from 1 species
UGGGGAAUAUUGCACAAUGGAGGGAACUCUGAUGCAGCGACGCCGCGUGAACGAAGAAGGCUUUCGAGUCGUAAAGUUCUUUUAUAUGGGAAGAUAAUGACGGUACCAUAAGAAAAAGUCCCGGCUAACUACGUGCCAGCAGCCGCGGUCAUACGUAGGGGGCUAGCGUUGUCCGGAAUCACUGGGCGUAAAGGGUUCGCAGGCGGAAAUGCAAGUCAGGUGUAAAAGGCAGUAGCUUAACUACUGUAAGCAUUUGAAACUGCAUAUCUUGAGAAGAGUAGAGGUAAGUGGAAUUUUUAGUGUAGCGGUGAAAUGCGUAGAUAUUAAAAAGAAUACCGGUGGCGAAGGCGGCUUACUGGGCUCAUUCUGACGCUGAGGAACGAAAGCGUGGGUAGCAAACAGG